GGGCCGGUAGCUCAGCUUGGUAGAGCACCUGACUUUUAAUCAGGUGGUCGCGAGUUCGAAUCUCGUCCGGCCCA
rnacentral:tRNA from 2 species